rnacentral:rRNA from 1 species
UACGUAGGGGGCUAGCGUUGUCCGGAAUCAUUGGGCGUAAAGAGCGUGUAGGCGGCCCGGUAAGUCCGCUGUGAAAGUCGGGGGCUCAACCCUCGAAUGCCGGUGGAUACUGUCGGGCUAGAGUGCGGAAGAGGCGAGUGGAAUUCCUGGUGUAGCGGUGAAAUGCGUAGAGAUCCGGAGGAACCCCAGAGGCGAAGGCGGCGUCCUGGCUCGCAUCUGACGCUCAGACACGACAGCAUGGGGAGCGAACGGG